rnacentral:misc_RNA from 1 species
GUAGGUGAACCUGCGGAAGGAUCAUUAACACGUUCCAAAACGUAUCAACCAAACGGUUAAGUGUAAACUUACUCCCUAUCUGGGAAAGCUGCGCAACACUCUUUAGUGAUGGGUAACAUCUGAAUAAGACGUUACAGAGAGUGUUGACUAGGGUCUCGAGCCCAGUGCUUUCCUUUAUAGGCUUUUUCCCCCCUUUUCCCCAUCACUUCCAACUAACCAUUUUCACCCCUUUAAACCAUUUGACUAAAUC